ACAGCAGUAGCCGCGGGAAUACGUAGGGUGCGAGCGUUAAUCGGAAUUACUGGGCGUAAAGCGUGCGCAGGCGGUUCGUUAAGACAGAUGUGAAAUCCCCGGGCUUAACCUGGGAACUGCAUUUGUGACUGGCGAGCUAGAGUAUGGCAGAGGGGGGUAGAAUUCCACGUGUAGCAGUGAAAUGCGUAGAGAUGUGGAGGAAUACCGAUGGCGAAGGCAGCCCCCUGGGCCAAUACUGACGCUCAUGCACGAAAGCGUGGGGAGCAAACAGGAUUAGAUACCCCCGUAGUCCCUGUCUCUUAUAC
rnacentral:rRNA from 1 species